rnacentral:lncRNA from 1 species
UGAACUUCAUUAUUCUGUUAUUUAUUGUUAAAUAUGCUGUUAGAUCUACUUCUAUUUUGUUCCUAAAUAUUUUGUUUUGUAACGUGCAGAUGCUGGGCUUUGAUGUUUCUUCGUGAGCAUUAGUACAAAGAAGUCGGAGGAAGAAUAGUUCUAGCUCAUUGGAGCUAGUUUUGAGAGUAAUGGAGUCCUUUAUGCUGCUCCUAUUUGUAUGUGUGUUAUAUGAUGUAGCAGAAUCUGGCUCAUGUGAUUGUACACUUGUGGAGCUUGUUAUUUGAUUGUAAACUUGAUGCUGAUCACAUUUGUAUGUGUGUUAUAUGAUGUAGCACUUUGAUGGUUGAUAACAUUUGAAGUAUUUCAUGUGUUCUGUGUGCCAAUUUAAAUACUAGGUAUUUAAAUUGAAGAAUAUUGCACCGACGGCUAGGACCUAGUACUAGAACCUGACAAUGGUGACCCACCUGACUAGUGAACCCACUCUAUAAAAAAGAAAAAAAAAUGAAAUUGUUGAGACAAAAAGGCCAUGGCCCAAAAAUAAAAAGACUACAACAUUGGGCUUGAUCCAUGAAGCUGACAAAAAAUUCAUAGGAAAAAAAUAUAAAUGGGCUGAAUUAAUGGGCUCGGCCCAUAUAAACACCGAAUUGGACCGGGCUGAUUCUUGUGCCACAUCAGCUUGCCACGCUGGAUGCCUAUGUGGUCUGGGGAGGCUGCUAGUGACCAAAAUUUUGGUCGAAGAACCAACGACCUUUUACAGAAGGUCGUUAAUUUCAGUUUACGACCGCCAGCUUUUGACCUUCUGUUUUUGGUCAAAAAAGGUCGCAAAUGAAAAGCAAUGACCUUUCAGCGGCCAAUAGUGAGGGUCACAAGUUGACAUAUUUCUUGUAGUGGAAUUUAGUAAAAGUAUAUCAAAACAAUUACACGUAAAUAUAACAAUUUUAAUGUUUGGAACGCAAAGGUAACCUUAACUAUAUGAUCAUGUUAUGUUGGAUAACUGAUAAUAUAUUUUGUUACAAAGAAUACUUGUAGUGUAAACACUUGAUAUGGAACUAAAAAAUAUUCUACCAGGGUAUAAUAAUGAUCAGUAGAUUCUGAUAAGUAACAGAUCCAAUGUAUAUCCAAAUUCUGCAUUCAUACGAUUAAGUGACAUCUUUUAGUAGAAGUAAAUUGAAUCUCCAUGUAAUAUAUAUUAACCCACUCAUAUUGUUAAUGGCAUUAUUGUAAGCCAAUUCAGUGAAGGCAGAGUCUACAAUUGUCCACCCUUCUUCCCAUUGGAACAACAACACAUCUUCCCCGGAAACUACAAUAGUAUGUUACUAGUGGCUGAUUAUAGGUUUAAGAUAAAGUAAUACAAGAAUGUUAACGCUUGCAUGCACUCUCAAGGUCGACUUGAAUUUUGUGUAAUGCAUAUAUGCUAGCAAAGUGGCCCGCGCACAUGUGUAAACACAAUAGUUUUGCUUAUAUUUAUGUGUUGUACACUAGUUUGUGAGCAAUGGAUAUAUGUUAGCAAAGUGGCCCGCACGCAUGCACAUGCAAUGUCUUAGAACUUCUAUGAUUUUAGAAUUUGAAAUUACUUUAAUUACUUAACUAUUAGAAUGAAGAUAUCCCAAUGCUAUAUGUCUCCAUGAAACUCCUUAUUUUAUUUUCUAAUUACUUGUCUAAUACGGCCCACUUCUAUAUCUUUGUUCUCAUAGGCCCAAGGGAAAAUAUGUUGUAGUAUAUGAACUAUUUCACUUAGACACUGUGAACUUACAGGGUAGUCCAACGUGUUUCUUUUUAUCCCCACAAUUUACUUGCCAUAAAGAGGAACGAAAAGUUGUAAUUUCUACUAAUUUCCAUAAAGUAUGAACAAAGAUAUUGAAUUUAGUAAAAGUAUAUAAAGACAAUUUAACAUAAAUAUAACAAUUAUAAUGUUUGGAACGUAAAGGUAACCCUAACUAUAUGAUGAUGUAAAGUUGGAUAACUAAUAAUAUGUUUAGUUACAAAGAGUACUUGUAGUGUAAACACUUGAUAUGGAACUAGCCAAUAUUCAACCAGGGUAUAAUGAUGGUCAGUAGAUUCAGAUAAGUAACAAAUCCAAUGUAUAUCCAAAUUGUGCAUUCAUAUGAUUAACUGACAUCUUUUGGUAGAAGCAAAUUGAAUCUCCAUGUAAUAUAUAUUAACCAACUCAUACUGUUAAUGGCAUUACUGUAAGCCAAUUCAGUGAAGGCAGAGUCUACAAUUGUCCACCCUUCUUCCCAUUGGAACAACAACACAUCUUCCCCCAAAACUACAAUAAUAUGUUACUAGUGGCUGAUUAUAGGUUUAAGAUAAAGUAAUACGAGAAUGUUAAUGUUUGCAUGCACUCUCAAGGUCGACUUGACUUUUGUGUAAUGCAUAUAUGUUAGCAAAGUGGCCCGCGCACAUGUGUUCACACAAUAGUUUCACUUAUAUUUAUGUGUUUGUACACUUGUUUGUGAGCAAUGGAUAUAUGUUAGCAAAGUGGCCCGCACACAUGCACAAGCAAUGUCUUAGAACAUCUAUGAUUUUAUAAUUUGAAAUUACCUUAAUUAUUUAACUAUUAGAAUGAAGAUAGCCCAACGCUAUAUGUCUGCAUGAAACUCCUUAUUUUAUUUUCUAAUUACUUGACUAAUAUGGCCCACUUAUGUAUGUGAUGGAAAAGACCCAACCAUAAGCUUAGCAACAGAUUGUAUCGCUUAGUUAUUUGCUAUAGCUUUCUUCAUGUCAAGUAUAUGUUCCUUAGACCAUGAGAUCAUGUCGCUCACGAACACCGGAGAAAUACCUUUUGUGCUAUCAAACAUCACUUCAUAACUGGGUGAUUAUAAAGGUGCUCUAAAGGUAUCUCUGAAGGUGGCUGGUUGGCACCGAGUAAUAAUUGAAUACCUUUUUUGCUGGUAGGGUAAUUACUGAAUAUACUGCGCGUUCUUUUUUUCUAUGUCUAAGACUGCGUGUUAUUCUUUGCUUCUACGUAGAGUCAGGUUCAACAAACUCCAAUCGCUUCAAAAGAACUCUUAUCUCUUUCUCUAAUCAGCUCCAUAACUCUAAUCAACCUCAGUUUGAGCUCUUGGUUCGGUAAAAAAAAGAGCUUUAAUGUGAAUUGCUACAAUUACGUCGGUGUUGCGACAUUUUUCUCUGGCGACUCUACUAAAAUUCACUUGACAAUCCUUCAAAUAUUAUCUGCCGUGACUUCGUAAAAAAUUCACUUGACGGAGGUAACCCUAACUAUAAGAUCUUGUAAAAUUGGAUUAGUGAUAAUAUGUUUUGUUACAAAGAGUACUUGUAGUGUAAACACUUUGAUAUGGAACUAACAAAUAUUCAACCAGGGUAUAAUAAUGAUCGGUAGAUUCUGAUAAGUAACAAAUCCAAUGUAUAUCCAAAUUCAAUAUUCAUACGAUUAACUGACAUCUUUUGGUAGAAGAAAAUUAAAUCGCCAUAUAAUAUAUACAUUAAUCAACUCAUACUGCUAAUGGCAUUAGUGUAAGCAUAUUCAAUGAAGGCAGAGUCUACAUUUGUCGACCCAUCUAACCAAUGGAACAAAAACACAUCUUCACCGGAAACUGCAAUGGUAUGUUACUAGUGGCUGAUUAUAGGUUUAAAAUAAAGUAAUACGAGAACUUUAACAUUUGCGUGCACUCUCAAUAUCGACUUGACUUUUGUGUAAUGCAUAUAUGUUAGCAAAGUGGCCCGCGCACAUGUGUACACACAAUAGUUUCACUUAUAUUUAUGUGUGGUACACUUGUUUGUAAGCAAUGCAUAUAUGUUAGCAAAGUGGCCCGCACACAUGCACAUGCAAUAUCUUAGAACAUCGAUGAUUUUAUAAUUUGAAAUUAUUUUAAUUAUUUAACUAUUAGAAUGAAGAUAGCCAAACGUUAUAUGUCUUCAUGAAACUCCUUAUUUGAUUUUCGAAUUACUUUACUACUGUGGCCCACUUGUGUAUCUUUGUUCUCAUAGGCCCAAGGGAAAAAUAUGUUAUUUUUACAAACUGGAGAGAGUUUAAAGUAUAUGAACUAUUUCACUUAAACACUGUGAACUUAGAGGGCUUUCUCUAGUCCAACGAGUUUAUUUUUUCCCCACAAUUUACUUGCCAUAAAAAGGAACGAAAAGUUGAAAUUUCUACUAAUUGCCAUAAAGUAUGAACAAAGAUAUUGAAUUCAGUAAAAUUCUAUCAAUAAACUUUCACAUAAAUAUAACAAUUAAAAUGUUUGGAACACAAAGGUAACCCUAACUAUAAGAUCAUGUAAAGUUGCAUAACUGAUAAUAUGUUUUGUUACAAAGAUUAUUUGUAGUGUAAACAAUUUGAUAUGGAACUAACAAAUAUUCAACCAGGGUAUAAAAAUGAUGAGUAUAUUCUGAUAAGUAACAAAUCCAUUGUAUAUCCAAAUUCAACGUUCGUACGAUUAAGUGACAUGUUUUGGUAGAAGCAAGUUAAAUCUCCAUGUAAUAUAUAUUAAUGAACUCAUACUGUUGGCAUUAGUGCAAUUAAGGCAGAGUCCACAAUUGUACACCUAUCUUCCCAUUAGAACAACAACACAUCUUUCCCGGAAACUUCAAUAGUAUAUUAAUCGUGGCUGAUUAUAUGUUUAAAACAAAUUAAUAUGAGAACAUUAAUGCUUGCACACACUCUAAAGAUCAACUCGACUUUUGUGCAAUGCUUAUAUGAUAGCAAAGUGGCCCGCACACAUGUGUACACAUAACCAUUUUGCUUACUUUCGUGUGUGGUUCAAUUGUUUGUAAGCAAUGGAUAUAUGUUAGCAAAGUGGCCUACCCACAUGCACAGGCAAUGUCUUAGAACGCCUAUUCUAUACCUACUAAUAAAGCAAGGUGCGUUUCGCCAAUUUUUUCAUCUGUUUGCCAUCGCAAUUUUUUUCCCUAUUCAAGGUGGUAUUAAAUUCUUAUGCUUUUGUCUGCUAGAAAAGAAUUUACAUAAGUGGGCCACACGCUGUGGCCCAGGGAAGCCAGCCCACUUGUUUUCUGACCACCCAGCUGGAAAAAUUCUAUUUUCCGGUUUGGGCGACAAAUAGUUGGAGUUUCGUACAGGACGGCCAACAAUGGGCUGGCCCAUUUUUCUUCUUUUCUGUGUUUUAGAUCUAUUAUCAUUCUCCUUUCCCUAUCUCUUUUUUCCCUUCCAAUUUUUUUUUCUAGAGUUAAAUUCGUAAUUUUUUUUAAAAUGUUCAAAAAAAAAAUCAAAUUUAGGAAAAUGUUCGGAGUUCCCAAAUUUUGUUGCUACUUUGAAACAUAUUCGGAACUUGCAAUAAGUUUCCCUUUUUCCAAAAAACUAUUGUUUUCAAAAUUGCUAAAGAUCUCAAAAAAGAAAAUGGCAUUUCAAAAAUUGCUCCAUAUUCGAAAAAUAUUCUUGUUUUAGUGAAAUUUUCAAAUAAAAAAAUAAAAUUAAUGUAUAAAAGAUACACAUUUUGUAAAAAUCUUAUGAGUUUUCAACACAUGUUCUCGUCUUAAAAAAAUAUUCACAAAUUCAAAUAAUGAACAUGUUUUUAUAAAAAAAGUUGGUUUUUUCAGAAAAAAUUUGUGAAUUUUAAAAGAUAUUCCCUUUCAUAUUUUGUUUGCGUUUUUUCGAGAGUGUACAUAAUUUUAAAAAAUUUGUUCAGGGUUUAGUUUUUUCAUCUUUCCUAGAAUACUCAGAAACUUCAUACCUUAAAAUCCCAUCGAUUGAAACGAUUGAACGGAAGAGUAGAUUGAAUAACUCAUGUGCCUUCUCCGGCGUACGAUUACGUAACAAAAUUCUUAAAUGCCCUCGAUCAAUGGAUGGAAAAAUAGCGGAUUGAUUUCUUCACACAUGGCGAAACCGAGAAGCUAAAUGUUCUUGUUUCGUGUGCACACAGUAUUUUGCUUCCACAUAUAAUUCUCACUUGUCUAAAAUACAUACUAUUUUAUCUCUCGUUGCAACGCACGGGCAUAUGUGCUAGUAUUUUAUAAUUUGAAAUUAGUUUAGUUAUAUAUCUGUUGGAAUGAAGAAAGCCCAAUGCUAUAUGUGUCUCCAUGGAACUCCUUAUUUGAUUUUUUAAUUACUUGAAUAAUAUGGCCCACUUGUGUAUCUUUGCUCUCAUGGGCCAAAGGAAAAAAUAUGUUCCUUUUACAAACAUGAGGGGGUUCAAAGUAUAUGAACUAUGUCAGUUAAACACUGCCAACUUACACGAUUUUCUCUAGUCCAACGAGGUUUUAUUUGCUCCCCACAAUUUACCUGCCAUAAAGAGGAACGACAGGUUGAAGCUCUACUAAUUGCCAUAAAGUAUGAACUAAAAUAUUGAAUUUACUAAAUGUAUAUCAACACAAUUUAACAUCAAUAUAACAACUAAAAUGUUUGGAACACAGAGGUAACCCUAACUACACGAUCAUGUAAAGUUGGACAAUUAAUAAUAAUUUUAUUAGAGAAUGUACUUGUAGUGUAAACACUUUGAUAUGGAACUAACAAAUAUUCAACCAUGGUAUAAUAAUGAUUAGGAGAUUCUGAUAAGUAGUAAAUCCAAUGUAUAUCCACAUUCAGCAUUCAUACGAUUAUCUGACAUCUUUUGGUAGAAUACAAUAAAAUCACCAUGUAAUAUAUGUUAAUCAACUCAUACUAUUAAUGGCAUUAGUGUAAGCCAAUUCAAUGAAGGCGGAGUCCACAGGUGUCCACCCAUCUUCCCAUUGGAACAACAACACAUCUUCCCUGGAAACUACAAUGAAAACUUACUAGUGGUUGAUUGUAUAUUUCAAAUAAAGUAAUACGAGAACGUUAACGCUUGCAUGCACUCUGAAUAUCAACUUGACUUUCGUGAAAUGCAUAUAUGUUAGCAAAGUGGCCCGCGCACAUGCGAACACACAAUCAUUUAGCUUACAUUUAUCUAUGGUACACUUGUUUGUGAUCAAUGCAUGUUAGCAAAGCGGCCCGCACACAUGCACAUACAAUGCCUUAGAACGUCUAUGAUUUUAUAAUUUGAAAUUAGUUUAAUUAUUUAACUAUUAGAAUGAAGAUAGCCCAACGCUAUGUGUGUGUCAAUGAAACUCCUUAUUUUAUUUUCUAAUUAUUUGACUAAUAUGGCCCAUUUGUGUAUCUUUGUUCUCGUAGGCCCAAGGGAAAACUACGUUAUUUUUUACAAAAUGGAGGGGUUUAAAUUUUAUGAACUAUGUCACUUAAAUGCUAUGACCUUAUGGGGUUUUCUCUAGUCCGACGAGGCUUUUUUGCUCCCCAUAGUUUACUUGCCGUAAAGAGGAACGAGAAGUUGAAGCUCUACUAGAUGCCAUAAAGUAUGAACUAAAAUAUUGAAUUUACUAAAAGUUUGUCAAGGCAUUUUAACAUAAAUAUAACAAUUAAAAUGUUUGGAACAGAGAGAUCAUGUAAAGUUGGAUAAUAAUAAUAAUAAUAAUUUUUAUUACAAAAAGUACGUGUAGUGUAAACACUUUGAUAUGGAACUAACAAAUAUUCAACUAGGGUAUAAUAAUGAUCAGUAGAUUCUGAUAAGUAAUAAAUCCAAUGUAUAUCUAAAUUCAGCAUUCAAACGAUUGUCUGUAUCUUUUGGUAGAAGCAGAUAAAAUCUCCAUGUAGUAUAUGUUAAUCAACUCAUACUGUUAAUGGCAUUAGUGUAAGGCAAUUAGAUGAAGGCAGAGUCCACAAUUGUCCACCCAUCUUCCUGUUGGAACAACAACACAUCUUCCCCGAAAACUACAACAGUAAGUUAAUAGUGGCUGACUUUAUUGGGAAUAUUACCUAGAUGCAAUCAUAAAUUGGUUAUUAUUAUAUUUCCCGUUCGUGAUAAAUGUUUAUUAUUCAUGCUAGAAUUGUAUUGGCCGGAAACUUAAAUACAAGUGUGAAUACAUAGACAACACCGUGUCCCUAGUGAGCCUCUACUAGACUAGCUCGUUGAUCAAAGAUGAUUAUGGUUUCCUAACCAUAGACAUGAGUUGUCAUUUGAUAACGGGAUCACAUCAUUAGGAGAAUGAUGUGAUGGAAAAGACCCAACCAUAAGCUUAGGAACAUAUCGUAUCGCUUAGUUAUUUGCUAUAGCUUUCUUCAUGUCAAGUAUAUGUUCCUUAGACCGUGAGAUCAUAUCACUCACGAACACCGGAGGAAUACCUUUAGUGCUAUCAAACAUCACUUCGUAACUGGGUGAUCAUAAAGGUGCUCUAAAGGUAUCUAUGAAGGUGGCUGGUUUGCAUCGAGUAAUAAUUGAAUACCUUUUUUGCGGGUAGGAUAAUUACUGAAUAUACUGCGCGUUUUUUCUGUGUCUAAUACUGCGUGUUAUUCUUUGCUUCUACGUAGAGUCAGGUUCAACAAACUCCAAUCGCCACCAAAGAACUCUUAUCUCUUUCUCUAAUCAGCUCCAUAACUCUAAUCAGCCUCAGUUUGAGCUCUUGGUUCGGUAAAAAAAGAGCUUUAAUGUGAACUGCUACAAGUACGUCGGUGUUGCCACAUUUUUCUCUGGCGACUCUACUAUUCACUUGAAAAUCCUUCAAAUAUUUUCUGCCGCGACUUCGUAAAAAAUUAUUCAAAAUCUUUGGUAUCUCAAAGCGGCUCAAGAUGGCAACGGGGAUGAAACCUGUCGGGUUUUGCCUGUCCAAACCCAUCCCCACGAGAAAAUUUCAAACCCAUCUCCAUCCCCGUCACUGUGCGCGGGUUUAGUUUUUUGCCCGUCCCCUAAACCCAUCGGGGUUUCUAAACCCACGGGGAAAUCAACAUAUUUAAGAAAACAUAGUAGCAAUAAAGAAUAGCAUUUCAGCAGCAAAAAGAGCAUAUUUUAGUAGCAUAACUUGAGAAAAUUUCAGCACAAUACAAUAGUACAUGGUUCGACAGUACAAGGAGCAUAUUUUAGCAGCAUAACUUGAGCAAAAAGAGCAAUAACAACAGCCACAAGGAGCAUUUUUCAUCACAAUACAAUACCCCAUUUCAGCAACAAAGAUAAGCAUAUUUCAGCAACAAGCAGGAGCAUAUUUUGCCGGGUAUUGUCGUGUUUCGGGUUCGGGGAGUACCGAAACGGGUGUAAACCCCCAAAACAUGUCAGGUUAUGUGCUCAGCAACAGCCCUGCAGGGAUGAAAAGACGCCCAUAUCUGUCCCCUAAUAGGGUAAAAGCCCGCGGAGACGCGGGUUUCGGGCCCCCGAUGCCAUCUUGAAACAUGGCACCAGAAAAUCAUUGCAACAUUUUACUCUGGUGACUCCAUCAAAAUCAUUUGAAAACCAUAUCAAUGUUCAAAUAUACACGUGCAACAAAUCCAAGUUUUGCUUCGGUACAACCCCCGCCCCCAAGAAGUUUACAGGAAUCAUAAAUUUACUUAAAGGGGUACUUUUGUACAUUCAGGAUCAACUAAUUCUACCCGCGAAAAAACUAACUCUAAUUCCUAUUGUUCCGAUGGAUCACACAAGAAAUAAGAAUAAUCUAAUUUUUUUGAUUGAACGGGUAACUUCUAAUCUCCACCUUUAUUCUGCUUCAAAAUCUUCAAAUUUUUUAANNNNNNNNNNNNNNNNNNNNNNNNNNNNNNNNNNNNNNNNNNNNNNNNNNNNNNNNNNNNNNNNNNNNNNNNNNNNNNNNNNNNNNNNNNNNNNNNNNNNNNNNNNNNNNNNNNNNNNNNNNNNNNNNNNNNNNNNNNNNNNNNNNNNNNNNNNNNNNNNNNNNNNNNNNNNNNNNNNNNNNNNNNNNNNNNNNNNNNNNNNNNNNNNNNNNNNNNNNNNNNNNNNNNNNNNNNNNNNNNNNNNAUACAACAAAUCUUAAUAAAGAAUAAAACAUGUCACAAUACAAGCAACUUAUCACAUCAACAAGGCUUUUUCAACCAAGAUUUUCCAAAAUAGACUAGUGUGCGGAUAUUUCGGUGAACCCAGAGAAACUUGAAUACCUUCAAAAAAUUGAUAUUUUUAAAUGUAUACAUCCUAGUAAUGCCACUAUUAUGACGUGGCAUAUCUUGGCCUGGUGGUAUGACGCAUAAGAGCAUCUCCAACCACAAUGAGCUAAUUCAAGUCCCCAUACAUCCGCGAACGUGCUUAUUCAGUGAUUGGGCGCGUCCAUUUUGAGCCUCCAUUUGUGUGUGCAUGCAAUAAGUCUCCUACAUCCUCCUCAAAUUGUCCGAUCAAAUGCAGAUGAUUGGUCGGGAUCAAAAGAGAGAGGGAAAAUAAAGAGAAAAAGUGGUCUGGGGUCGGCCGUAUCCUAUGUGGUGGGGCUGUCCGGACAUGCCCGGACAUCCCCAUAUGCUCCCCAUAUUCGUUAUGGAUAUGGUGAUUUGCGGACAGCCCGGGCAAAUGGAGNNNNNNNNNNNNNNNNNNNNNNNNNNNNNNNNNNNNNNNNNNNNNNNNNNNNNNNNNNNNNNNNNNNNNNNNNNNNNNNNNNNNNNNNNNNNNNNNNNNNNNNNNNNNNNNNNNNNNNNNNNNNNNNNNNNNNNNNNNNNNNNNNNNNNNNNNNNNNNNNNNNNNNNNNNNNNNNNNNNNNNUGUAUGUCGUGGAUUUGGAUGGUCUGGUUCUAGAUGCUCUAACCCUCCUCGCUACAGGUCUUGUGAGUCUGACCAAGUUCCAGCUUUUGCAAUCAACUACUUAGUGGUGACCACUUGCAUAUGAAUCAGUUGAUGACUAUCAUGGGUUAAAUAUUACAGAUUUUUAUGCAUUUUUUUGAAUUUAAAUUUUGGGCAAUUUUUUUUCAAAAGAUCCUAGAAUUUUAGGGAAAAAGUUUUUUUUGGCCCAACCCCAAAAACAGGAAUUCUGACUAAAAAAACCUUGCUCACAACAACACAAACAACAUCAAAGAAACAUAUUUUCAACCAUUUGUAGCAUGUGUACGUAAAAAACACCAACACAUUUGUGGCAUGUCAAAAAAUAGUGUGCAACCUAAAAAAUAUCGAUUCAAUGACCUCACGCUGCCAACUUUUUAUGCACCGGCCUUCGCCGAUUUGGUUCCGUGGAGUCACCAAAACAUGAUCUCACAUACAUGUGGAACAGAAGACAAGACCAACGCUACACAUAGGUUGGGUGAAUGUGAUGAAAAACAGUCAGCCUUCAUGCUGUUGAAUCUCCCUAAACUGAUGGUUUAAAGCAUCUAAUUGCAAAGUCGCUACUAGAAACUUUUAGUUUACUUAGACCGGAUUCUUUACCUAGGGAUAAUUGCCUUCGAGGGACAUAAAAGCACCAAAUAGUACAGUCUAGGAAGAUAUGAUCUUGUAGCUAAAAGUUUUGGGAAAUAAGACAUAAAAAAGGUGUGAUAGCUCCCGGGUGCCCCUACACCCUCUAUGCAACAUAAAAUAUUUGUUGGCCGGAAUAAGCCGCGGCGACGUGUCGGGCGCGUCCAGCGCGUGUAUGGGCGCGAGCUGGACGUGUCGGGCGCGUCGGGACCGCGGCGUAGGCGUGCGUGUGGUGCACGGGGUGCCCGUGUAGGUAGACAUCGUGCGUGUGAGUGUAGGCCAGGCCGUUGGCGAGUUUAGGGGGUGCGUUGAGUUGGUCCGCUGUGGGACUCGCCAUGCCCGGACGUGUGCGUGCAUGUCGGGAGGGCGCGGGCAGAGUGGAGCGGACCGGGCGCUCGACGUGGACAGAGUCGUGGGUGCGUGCCCUGGUCGACCCUGGGUAUAAGACCCCUGUGUGUGUGUGCGUUGUAACGGCGUGGCCGGGGCUGAGUUUGUGCUCAGGAAAGAAAAGAAGGCCGUUCGGGCGGCGGUGGCAUACGUGCGCCAGGAAAAUCCAUCGUCUCCGGUUCUUCUUCUUCCUCUGUUUCGUUCCAGCGAGUGCACCGUGAGGGAGAGAGAGAGAGCGGCUGCGCCAACAAUUGGUAUACAAAGCCACAAGGUUCGAGGGGCGGCCGUGGCGCGCGGCGGCGUCCGCGGUGUGCGCUGCGACCACGGCGGACAUGGAGGCCGCGGCGCGCGGAGAGCGCGUGGCGACUGCGACAGGCGACGAGCCUGCGGUGGUGCAGCGUGAUGCCGUGCGCGCGACGAGCAGCGGCGGUCGCGGAGGACCUGUGUGGUGGCGUAGAGNNNNNNNNNNNNNNNNNNNNNNNNNNNNNNNNNNNNNNNNNNNNNNNNNNNNNNNNNNNNNNNNNNNNNNNNNNNNNNNNNNNNNNNNNNNNNNNNNNNNNNNNNNNNNNNNNNNNNNNNNNNNNNNNNNNNNNNNNNNNNNNNNNNNNNNNNNNNNNNNNNNNNNNNNNNNNNNNNNNNNNNNNNNNNNNNNNNNNNNNNNNNNNNNNNNNNNNNNNNNNNNNNNNNNNNNNNNNNNNNNNNNNNNNNNNNNNNNNNNNNNNNNNNNNNNNNNNNNNNNNNNNNNNNNNNNNNNNNNNNNNNNNNNNNNNNNNNNNNNNNNNNNNNNNNNNNNNNNNNNNNNNNNNNNNNNNNNNNNNNNNNNNNNNNNNNNNNNNNNNNNNNNNNNNNNNNNNNNNNNNNNNNNNNNNNNNNNNNNNNNNNNNNNNNNNNNNNNNNNNNNNNNNNNNNNNNNNNNNNNNNNNNNNNNNNNNNNNNNNNNNNNNNNCGGCGCGACGGCCGUGGAGGCGCAGUGGCGCGAGGCACGGAGAUGCGGCACGGCGGCGCACGGAGCCGCGGGUUUCGGCAGCGGCAGCGAGUGGCGCUCGGCGGGGCGCAGCGCGGCGGUACGCGACAGCGGCCGGUGAGGUGGCCGCGUUGCACGGCAUCUGCGGCAGCUCGUGCUGGAAGCACACGGUGGCGUCGGGCGGCAGCAACCAUGGCGACGACGACGUCGGACCGGCACUCCGCUAGGCCGCGGCUUAGGGGGUGAAUGUUGGCCGGAAUAAGCCGCGGCGACGCGUCGGGCGCGUCCAGCACGUGUAUGGGUACGAGCUGGACGUGUCGGGCACGUCGGGACCGCGGCGUAGGCGUGCGCGUGUGCAUGCGUGUGGUGCACGGGGUGCCUGUGUAGGUAGACACCGUGCGUGUGAGUGCAGGCCAGGCCGUUGGCGAGCUUAGGGGGUGCGUUGAGUUGGUCCGCUGUGGGACUCGCCAUGCCCGGACGUGUGCGUGCAUGUCGGGAGGGCGCGGGCAGAGUGGAGCGGACCGGGCGCUCGACGUGGACAGGGUCGUGGGUGCGUGCCCUGGUCGACCCUGGGUAUAAGACCCCCUGUGUGUGUGCGUUGUAACGGCGUGGCCGGGGCUGAGUUUGUGCUCAGGAAAGAAAAGAAGGCCGUUCGGGCGGCGGUGGCAUACGUGCGCCAGGAAAAUCCAUCGUCUCCGGUUCUUCUUCUUCCUCUGUUUCGUUCCAGCGAGUGCACCGUGAGGGAGAGAGAGCGGCUGCGCCAACAAUAUUGUCAAACUGUAGGUUCUUACAAGUUUUUAUAACAAAAUAUCAUGUAAAGAAAGGUGUACACACGAGCUUCAGAUUUCAGUGCUAAAAGUGAUGAAAACUUCAACAACUAAAAUCUUUUUCUUGUGUAGAGCGCUUCGAAUGUUUGUUUGGCAUGAAAACCUGCAUGCAUCUACAAAGUUUGAUCAUAUUUGACGUUGUAAAGUUUCAUAUUUUUUUAGAAUUAGUUUUUAUUUUUUCGAAUUUACUAUUCAUACAGGGUGUAGCGGCACCCCGGAGCUAAAAAACCACUCUCAUAAGGCAUGCCUAUGGUUGGACGAACGUAGAUGCCCUCAAGUCUAGAAAGACAUAGACUGAUGACCCCAUUAUGGCCAAGUAGAUGGUCUCCUGCGCCUUUUAGUCAAGGGAUUUCUAUUUUCAUGCCCCUCUUUGCUUAUCUCCUUAGUUUUGCCCAGGUUUUUUUGGUAGUCCUUACUUUUCCCCUCCACCACUCGGCCCAUCCUUGCAAAAGCCUAAAUGGGGGUUUGCUGUUCAGUCAAAGUCUUUGAUCAUUACUCGGCGUUGUUACUGAUGCGUAGGAGACCUCUGUCAGCAGCUGCCCGCUGGUAGAUGGUGGGCGGAUCACUACCGGGGAAAGCCCUAUAGGUGAACUAUAAAAAGUGGCGGCUAGGACAUGUCACCUGCAACCGCUACUUUUCCAAAAGAGCAGUGACGAGUACCUAGACUUGCCAAUCACAAUUACGGGCAUGCCUGUGGCGGGCGCUGGCUAGCAACCGCCAUAGCUAGGCUCUUCCAAAUAUGCCCGCUAGCUGGAAACUGUAGUAGCUAGCACUGACCUAGUGCCCGCCACUUGCUUGUGUGUAAGCAGUGGCAGGCAUUGCUAGGCGCCCCCACAACUAAAUUUUGGCAAGCGUGCCAAAUAAAUCAAAAUUUGGAAAUGUUUGCUGUGUGGUUCUUUGUGCUUGCCCGCCACUGCUCUCGACGGACCGUUCCCCUUCCACGCCCGCCCAGCAACCAUACACAAAACUUUCAUUUCCAUCGUUUCGCCUUUCUCUCUGCCAUUUCCUCUCCCUUGUCCCCCUCCUCGUCGUCCUGUGGCUCGACCGCCACCACUGUCCCUCCGACCAGCCAACAGUGCCUUCCAUGUGUCAGACGCCAUGAGCGCCACCAGAUCUGCUCGCCUUUGUGUUGCCCGCCUCGAACACCACCACACCGUUCUGCGCCUUGAACGCGCGCUUCCCCGGUCCUCCGCCUCAACUGCCACCGCCGUCCUUUACCUCGACUGCCACCCUCGACCGUCGCCUCGACCGCCGCCGCCAUCCUGCGCCUCGACCGCCCUCAUGACCACGACCGGAAAAGCGGCCAACAGUAUACUACAUCUCCAUGACUAACUCUAGGUUUUAGAAUUUGCAUCUUAUUAAUUUGUAGAUUAACUAGUUGUACAUCAUAUAAGAGAGCGAGCAGCAUAUCGGCAGGGGCAGUACUAUAUAAUUGAAAUAGAUCUUUUUCGUAUCGGCAGGUAUCCAAAUAUUUGGAACAUUGCUAAAUAUGACAAGUGGCAAUGAUGUUUGGAUUUUCUUAUAUAUGAGAAGUGCAUGGGCUUCAUGUUAUUCACAGGGAUUUGAAGAAGAAUGACAAAGUUUUUGCAAAACGUUGAUUCAUUUCCGUUUCGCCAAAUUUUUGUCAUUCCAUACGUCAACUUUGUAAGCGAAGUUCAUGCCGAAUUUCAUUUGCUAUGACAAUAUUGUUUAAUUUGCUUACAUAUGACAAUUGCAUGGGUUUAGCACGAACAUUGCUAAAUAUGACAAGUGGCAAUGAUGUUUGAAUUUCCUACAUAUGAGAAGUGCAUGGGCUUCAUGUUAUUCACAAGGAUUUGAAAAAGAGUGACAAUGUUUUUGCCAAACGUUGAUUCAUUUCCGUUUCGCCAAAUUUCUGUCACUCCAUACAUAAACUUUGUAAGAAAAGUUCAUGCCGAUUAUCAUUGUCUAUGACAAUAUUGUUUAGCUUUGUAAGCAAAGUUCGUGCCGAAUUUACAAAUGACAAGUGCAUGGCUUUUUAAAAUGAGUGCCAAUGUUUUGAUGAAAAGUUGACUAACUUCUGUUUCAUCAAAUUUCUGGUAGUCAAAAUAUGUUCAAUAUUUAGCAAAGGUCAUGCCAAAUUAUCUCUAUCCCUUCUUAGUUACUUCCUCCUCUCAAAAUUACAAUUAAUAAGUGCUUCACAAUGAUUAUUAGGGAUCAUGAGGCGUAAGAUCUACCAUAUCUAAAAAUGUCCAUGUAUGGAUAGUUGAUACGUCCAUUUUGCAUCAUGUUUACCUAAUAUUAUUUAUAAUGUUUUUAUGUAUAAUAAUGCUUUUUGGAGUAAUUAUAAUGCCUUUUCUCUCAUAAUGUGCAAGGUUCACACUGAGAGGGAGAAUACCGAUAGCUGGAAUUCUAGACCAGAAAAAGCUACGCCAGGCCACCUAUUCUGCACAACUCCAAAUGAGCUGAAACUUCACAAAUAUUUUUUAUGGAAUAUAUAAGAAUUAUUGGAGCAAAUAACUACCAGAGGGACCCACCAGGUGGGCACAACCCACCUGGGUGCGCCAGGGAGCCCAUGUGCGCCCUGGUGCGUUGUGCCCUCCUCGGCCCACCUCCGGUGCCCCUCUUCUGGUAUAUAAGUCAUUUUGACCUAGAAAAAAAAUAAGGAGAGGACUUUUGGUAGGAAGCGCUGCUGUCUCGAGGCGAAACUUGGGCAGGAGCUCUUUUGCCCUCCGGGGGAGCGAUUCCGCCGUGGGGACUUCCCUCCCGGAGGGGGAAAUCAUUGUGAUCAUCAUCACCAACAACUCUCCCAUCUUGGGGAGGGUAAUCUCCAUCAGCAUCUUCAACAACACCAUCUCCUCUCAAACCCUAAUUCAUCUCUUGUGUUCAAUCUUUGUACCGGAACCUUAGAUUGGUGGUUGUGGGUGACUAGUAGUGUUGAUUACAUCUUAUUGUUGAUUACUAUAUGGUUUAUUUGGUGGAGGAUUAUAUGUUCAGAUCCAUUAUGCUAUUUAAUACCCCUCUGAUCUUGAGCAUGAUUAUCAUUUGUGAGUAGUUACUUUUGUUCCCGAGGUCACGGGAGAAAUCUUGUUGCAAGUAAUCAUGUGAACUUCAUAUGUGUUCGAUAUUUUGAUGGUAUGUAUGUUGUGAUUCCCUUAGUGGUGUCAUGUGAACGUCGACUACAUGGCACUUGACCUUAUUAGGGCCUAAGGGAAUGCAUUGUGGAUUAGUUAUUAGAUGAUGGGUUGCGAGAGUGACAGAAGUUUAAACCCUAGUUUAUGCGCUACUUCGUAAGGGACUGAUUUGGAUCCAAAAUUUUAAUGCUAUGGUUAGAUUUAUUCUUAAUACUUUUCUCGUAGUUGCAGAUGCUUGUGAGGGGGUUAAUCAUAAGUAGGAGGUUUGUUCAAGUAAGAACAACACCUAAGCACCUGUCCACCCAUAUAUCAAAUUAUCAAAGUAGCGAUCACGAAUCAAACUAUGUGAUGAUAUUGGAUCUUGGAAUUGGAAUCGAUUGAAAUUGGAAUUUCACCAAAAAGUUUAUCCUAUGCAUCUUGUUCAUCAUGAUCAGAAUUACAUAUAUAAUUUUUGGCCUCGUGAAGGAGAAAGUAUUGCUCUAGCUUGGGGGAGGCUUAAGUCAAUGUUAUAUUCAUGCCCCAAUCAUGAGCUCUCAAGAGAAAUUAUUAUUCAGAAUUUUAAUGCUCGGCUUUCUCGUGAUGAUCAAUCCAUGCUCGAUACUUCUUGUACUGGUUCCUUUAUGAAGAAGACUAUUGAAUUCAGGUGGUAUCUUUUAGGAAGAAUUAAACGCAACUCUAAAGAUUAGGAAUUCGACGAAGGUAAAGAGUCAAGUAUUAAGCUUAAGUAUGAUUGUGUUAAAUCUUUUAUGAAUGCCGAUGCUUUUCAAAAGUUUAGCACUAAAUAUGGACUUGACUCUGAGAUAGUAGCCUCCUUUUGUGAAUCAUUUGCUACUCAUGUUGAUCUCCCUAAGGAGAAGUGGUCUAAAUAUAACCCACCUAUUAAAGAAUAAAUUAAAGAACCGGUAAUAGCUAAAAAUGAAAGUAUUAUUUAUAAUGUUGACUCAGUUGUUCCUACUGCUUAUAUUGAAAAACCACCUUUCCCUGUUAGGAUAAAGGAACAUGCUAAAGUUUCAACUAUGGUCAAUAAAAGUUAUGUAAGAGCACCUAAACCUGCUGAACAAAUCAAGGUAGAACCUAGUGUUGCUUUUGUUAAAGAUCUCUUGAAAGGAAAUAUUGAUGGGCAUGUUAUUUAUUUCUGUGGUGAAGCUGCUAGAAUUGCCAAACCCGAUGAAAAAGAUAAACAUAGACCUAUUGUUGGCAUGCCUAUUGUCCCAGUCAAAAUAGUUGAUCACUGUUAUCAUGGUUUAUGUGAUUUGGGUGUUAGUGUGAGUGCUAUUCCUUUUACCUUAUAUCAAGAAAUUAUGAAUGAUAUAGCACCCGCUGAAAUAGAAGAUAUAGAUGUUACUAUUAAACUUGCUAAUAGAGACACCAUCACACCACUUGGGAUUGUUAGAGAUGUUGAAGUCUUGUGUCGGAAAAUAAAAUAUCCUACUGAUUUUCUUGUUCUUGGUUCCUGAUACGUCUCCAACGUAUCUAUAAUUUUUGAUUGUUCCAUGCUGUUUUAUUAUCAAUCUUGGAUGUUUUAUAAUAAUUUUAUAGUCACUUUGUAUCAUUUUUUGGUACUAACCUAUUGACAUAAUGCCAAAUGCCAGUUGUUGUUUUUCCAUAUUUUUUACAUCACAGGAAAUCAAUAUCAGACGGAGUCCAAAUUCCACGAAACUUUAUGGAGAUUUUUUAUGGACCAAAAGGAAGAUGUUGGGCCCUGGUUGCACCUAGGGGGAGUCCCGAGGAGGGGACAACCCACCAGGGUGCGCCAGGAGGCCCAGGCGCGCCCUGGUGGGUUGUGCCCACCUCGGGUGCCCCCCGGACCGCCUCUUUGCUCUAUAAAUACCCCAAAAAUACCAGAACCCUACGGGAGUCGACAAAAUAUUCAUCCAGCCGCCGCAGAGUCCAGAACCACCAGAUCCAAUCUAGACACCAUCUCCAUUGGUGCCUCUCCGAUGAUGCGUGAGUAGUUCUUUGUAGACCUUCGGGUCCGUAGUUAGUAGCUAGAUGGCUUCCUCUCUCUCUCUCUAAAUUCUCAAAACAAUUGUCUCUUGGAGAUCCAUAUGAUGUAACUCUUUUUGCGGUGUGUUUGUUGGGAUCUGAUGAACUUUGAGUUUAUGAUCAGUCAUAUAUUUUUAUAUCCAUGAAAGUUAUUUGAGUUUCUUUGAUCUCUUAUAUGCAUGAUCUCUUAUAGCCUCGUAUUUCUUCUCCGAUAUUUGGGUUUUGUUUGGACAACUUGAUCUAUUUAUUUUGCAAUGGGAAGAGGUAGUGGGUCCGAUCUUACGGUGCUUGAUCCCAGUGAAAGAAAGGGAAACGACAUGUAUGUAUCGUUGCUACUAAGAAUAAAACGAUGGGGUCUAUCUCUACAUAGAUAGAUCUUGUCUACAUCAUGUCAUCGUUCUUAUUGCAUUACUCCGUUUCUCCAUGAACUUAAUACACUAGAUGCAUGCUGGAUAGCGGUCGAUGUGGGGAGUAAUAGUAGUAGAUGCAGACAUGAGUCGGUCUACUAAUCUUGGAUGUGAUGCCUAUGUAAUGAUCAUUGCCUGGAUAUCGUCAUAAUUAUUUGAGGUUCUAUCAAUUACCCAACAGUAAUUUGUUUACCCAUCGUUUGCUAUCUUUCUUGAGAGAAGCCACUAGUGAAAUCUACGGCCCUCGGGUCUUCUUUCUCAUAUAUUUGCUUUGCGAUCUAUUUUAUUUGCUCUUUUUAUUCAGAUCUAUUAAACCAAAAAUACAAAAAUACUUUGCUGCACUUUAUUUUAUUUGUGAUCUGUUUAUUCAAUCUAUCACAAUUUUCUCCCGUCUCCUUGCCAAUUUCUGGCACCGUUACCCGAAAGGGAUUGACAACCCGUUUAACAUGUCGGGUUGCGAGUGGCUGUUAUUUGUGUGCAGGGGCUAUUUACGUUGUGUUGCUUGAUUCUCCUACUGGUUCGAUAACCUUGGUUUCAUAUCUGAGGGAAAUACCUACCGCCGCUGUGCUGCAUCAUCCCUUCCUCUUUGGGGAAAUACCGACCUAGCGUCAAGCGACAUCAAAAGGAAUUUUUGGCGCCGUUGCUGGGGAGGAUCUUCAACAUAUACCAGGUUCCUAAUCACAUAUCUCAUCUCCUCGCAAUUUACAUUAUUUGCCAUUUUCCUCUCGUUUUCCUCUCCCCCACUUCACAAAAAUUUGCCGUUUUAUUCACCUCUCCUUUUCGUCGAUCUCUUGUCUUUAGUCUCGAUGGCCAGCGUCACUACUCCUCCUUUGUCACCAGAUUUUGAAGUUCUUUACUUCAAGGAAAGACAAGGAGAAAAUCUGAAAGAUGCCAGGUAUAGGCUUAUGGAAUCGUAUCCUGUUUCCAAUCUAAAUGGGGAUGCUAAGGUUUUGCUUCGUCACUUUUACAUAUGAUUGGCUUUGCAUCAUAGACAACUUUUGGAUUUUGCCGCUAAAGGAAAUUUUAUUGAGCUUGAUGCUAAUGCUGCCUAUGAAAUUUUAGAGGGAAUUUUGGGAAUUCCUCCUCAAAAGAAGGGGUUUUCUUUUACCCCUGAGGGAGUUCAGAUGUUGGACAAACUUGGUGAUUUGCAUAAACAUAUGGUUGAAAUACAGAAAUAUAAUGAACCCCUCAAACACUUAAUGGUAGUAUUAAUCGUAUGAAUACCUUGAUUACUCUUUGCAACAAGCGUUUGGAUAUUUUGGAUCUAAAGAUGGUUUCUUUUCUUGAGAAUUUAGGGAAGCGUAAAGAGUCUCCCGGGUUCGAGAAAACCCUUACAAAAUUUACCAAAACUUCGGAACACAAAACUUAGAUCCUUGCUUUAUGCCUAGCUAAGGGCGUAAAACUAUAGCGCUUGUUGGGAGGCAACCCAAUGAAUAAAAUUUAUUUUUGCUUUUUGCUUUCUCUUCUUGUGUGUUUGCACAAUUAUGCUACUGGUAUGAUUGUUUUUGUGUGUGUUUUAAUUAGUGUUUGUGCCAAGUAAAGCCUAUAGGAUCUUCUUGGGUGAUAGUUGUUUGAUCUUGCUGAAAAACAGAAACUUAUGUAGUCACGAAAACAAUUGUUAAAAAUCACCAGAACGUGAUAAAAUGCCAACUCUUUUUGCAGAAGAUUAAUAUACAAAUUACCCUGGUCAUCCUAUUUUUCAGAAUCUUUGGAGUUACAGAAGUAUUCGAAAUAGUCAGAUUGCUACAGACUAUUUUGUUUUGACAGAUUCUGUUUUCUUUGUGUUGUGUGCUUAUUUUGAUGGCUCUAUGGUUUUCUUUGAUGAGUUUUUGCCAUAGAAAAGUUGGAAUACAGUAGAUAUAAUACAAAAAAUAAAAUGUUUGGCACAAAAUAUUUGAAUGAUGGGCAUGAUUGCAAUGUUGUUAGUAUGAAUUCUUUGAAUAUCCAAAAUGCUAAUGAUGAUUGCACAAGUCAUGAGAAAAAUGUUUCUUAUAAGCAUGUCAAUUUUUGUGGAGUGCAUAAAUUUUGUGAAGACGUGCUUUAUAGGGAAGAUAGAUUUUGCAAGAAGCAUAAACAUGAUAGAACCAAUUGUUUGCUCAAAGUGAUAGAUGAAUUUGCUACAAAAUUAUGUUUUCUUUGUCCUAUUACUUGUGAACUUUGCAAUAAGGUUGGUCAUCUAAAUUUCCAAUGCAUGUUUUUUCAUGAUCAAAUCGUGUCCAAAUAUUGCAAUAACUUGAUCACCCUAGAACUUUAUAAUGAACUUUGUUUAUUCUUGGGGAGUGAAGAAUUGACAUAUAAAAAUAGUUGGUUUGAAGUAUUCGUUCUCACGGACGACAUUGAAACUAAACUAAAGAAUAUCUAUAUGUUUUGCAUGGUAAAUUGCAACGAGAAUCCUUAUAUUGCCAACUAUAGAAAGAUUCAGACAUGGUGGCAACAAACCGAUCUAGCAAACGAGCAAACAAAAAGGCGAAUGGAAGAAGGGCGAAUAAAAGGGCAAAUCUUUUCGAAAAUCAUUUUAGAAGUGGGGGAGAGGAAAACGAGAGGCAAAUGGCGAAUAAUGUAAUGAAAGAGAUGAGAUUUUAUGAUGGGUACUUGGUAGGCUUGGCAUAGAUCUCCCCGGCAAUGGCACCAGAAAUUCUUCCUGCUACUUCUUGAGCUUGCGUUGGUUUCUCCAUUGAAGAGGAAAGGGUGAUGCAGCACAGUAGAGAUAAGUAUUUCCCUCAGUUAAGAACCAAGGUAUCAAUACAAUAGGAGAAACGCGCAAGUCCCCAAUUGAUGCACCUGCACGACCAAUCAAACACUUGCACCCAACGCGAUAAAGGGGUUGUCAAUCCCUUCAUGGUCACUUGCAAAGGUGAGAUCUGAUAGAGAUAGAUAGAACUAAACAAAAGAUAAAAUAUUUUUGGGUUUUUUGAUUUAUAGAUCUGAAACUAAAAGAUUGCAAAAUAGUAGACCUGAAACUAAUAUGAUGGAAAUUAGACCCGGGGGCCAUAGGUUUCACUAGAGGCUUCUCUCUUGAAGGCAAAUAAUACGGUGGGUGAACAAAUUACUGUCGAGCAAUUGAUAGAAAAGCGCAAAGUUAUGACAAUAUCCAAGGCAAUGAUUAUGCAUAUAGGCAUCACAUCCGUGUCAAGUAGAUCGACUCCUGCUUGCAUCUACUACUAUUACUGCACACAUCGACCGCUAUCCAGCAUGCAUCUAUAGUAUUAAGUUUAUAAAGAAGAGAGUAACGCCUUAAGUAAGAUGACAUGAUGUAGAGAAAUAAACUCAAGCAAUUUGAUGAAACCCCUAUCUUUUUAUCCAUGAUGUCAACAAUUCAAUAUGUGUCUCGCUACCCCUACUUUGUCACUGGGUGAAAUCACGCAAGAUUGAACCUAAAGCUAAGCACCUCUCCCAUUGCAAGAAAAACCAAUCUAGUUGACCAAACCAAACCAAUAAUUCAAAGAGAAAUACAAAGAUAUCAAAUCAUGCAUAUAAGAAUUCAGAGAAGAUUCAAAUAAUAUUCAUAGAUAAGUUGAUCAUAAAUCCACAAUUCAUCGGAUCUCGACAAACACACCGCAAAACAAGAUUACAUCAGAUAUAUCUCCAAGAACAUCGAGGAGAACAUGGUAUUGAAAAUCAAAGAGAGAGAAGAAGCCAUCUAGCUACUAGCUAUGGACCCGUAGGUGUGUGGUAAACUACUCACGCUUCAUCGGAAGGGCAAUAGAGUUGACGUAGAUGCCCUCUGUGACCGAAUCCCCCUCCGGCAGGAUGCCGGAAAAGGCCCCAAGAUGGGAUCUCACGGGAACAGAAGGUUGCGGCAGUGGAAAAGUGUUUUCGUGGCUCCCCCUGACGGUUUUGGAAUAUAUGUGAAUAUAUAGGACGAAGGGCUAGGUCAGAGGAGUCCCGAGGGGGCCACAAGGUAGGGGUGCGCCCUCCGCCCUUGCCGCCGCCUCGUGGCUCUUCUGGCUUGGACUCCAAGUCCCCUGGGUGUCUUUUGGUCGAAGAAAAAUCAUCAUGAAGUUUUAUUCCAUUUGGACUCCGUUUGGUAUUCCUUUUCUGCGAAGCUCAAAAACAAGGAAAAAACAUUAACUGGCACUUGGCUCUCGGUUAAUAACUUAGUCCCAAAAAUAAUAUAAAAUAGCAUAUUAAUGCAUAUAAAACAUCCAAAACAGAUAAUAUAAUAGCAUGGAACAAUAAAAAAUUAUAGAUACGUUGAAGACGUAUCAAGCCCCUAAACCUUUUAGUGUCGGUUGGUGUAACCAACCGGGACUAAAGGCCCCCAGCCCCCCAGCGUGGGCUCGUGCCACGUGGUGGGCCUUUGGUCCUGGGUCAUGACGAACCGGCACUAAAGGGGGGGGGGCUUUAGUCCUCACCCUUUAGUGCCGGUUGCUGAACCGGGACUAAAGGUCCUUACGAUCCGGGACUAAAGCCCGAUUCUGCACUAGUGCAUGUCUACAUACAUUCGUAUCAAGACAAAAAUAAGAGCAUCUCUAGCAGACCCCGUAUAUCGCGACCCGCAAAGCUCGUUUACAGUUCUCAGAAAAGCGGUUUUGCGGGCCGGCGCCCGCGUCGGCCCGCAUAUCAUAUGCAGUUUUAUCUGAAUUUGACACAUAUGGCACAUAUUCAGAAUUACUAAUUUAAUAUAAGAAAAAAAUUCAAUAUUACAAUACAACAAUAAUCCAAAUUACAAUAAUUAUUCAAAUCACCGAAGCAAACUAAAUAAUUCAAUACAAAACUUGUCCCGAAUACAAAUCACACAUGAAUUAAAUGAAAAUGAAUAGAAAAAUGGAAUGUGUUACUGCCAAGUCCUUUGCCAGUGGUGCUCAAUGAGAUCCUCCUGAAGCUGAAAGUAGGUGUUUGCAUUUUCAAUUUCCCUGUAGGUCUGGAGAAAAUCUCUAAUGCGGUUCGGAUUUCUAGCUGGUUUGGCAUGGCUACCCACAUUGUCGUAGAAGAACUCCAAGUUCAUGCCUCUCUCAUCUCCUAGAAUCAUAUUGUGAAGAAUAACACAACAUGUCAUGAUGUUUUUCAAGGAUCGAUUGUCCCAAAAAUGAGCAGGACCACGAAGAAUGGCAGACCUAGAUUGCAAAACCCCGAAUGCUCUUUCAAUGUCUUUUCGGGCUGCCUCUUGUGCCCUUGCGAAUUCACAAUGUUUCCUAGUUUGGGGGUCAUUGAUGCUCUUGACAAAUGUGCACCAAGGAGGGUAUAUACCAUCUGCAAGAUAGUACCCCUUUGUGUAUUCAUGCCCAUUGAUAGUAUAGUUGCAAGCAGGAGCAUCACCACUAGCAAGCCUAGCAAACAAAUGAGACCGUUGCAACACAUUGAUAUCAUUGAGAGUACCCUGCAUACCAAAAAAGCAAUGCCAAAUCCAUAAAUCCUCGGAUGCUAUGACCUCUAACACAAUUGUUGGAUCACGAGACUUGCCACAAUACAUUCCCUGCCAUGCCUUCGGGCAAUUUUUCCAUGUCCAAUGCAUACAAUCAAUGCUUCCUAGCAUGCCAUGCCAACCUCUGCUCUCAUAGGUGCCAUCAAUUUUUGUUUGUCUUCCUCGUUGGGUGCCCGGAGAUAUUCAGGACAAAAGACACGGAUGAUCACUUUGGCAAACCUACGCACUGACUCAAUUGUAGUAUCUUCACCAAUGCGAAGGUACUCAUCGGCAUAGUCAGCCGGAAUGCCAUAUGCAAUUACUCGCAUAGCUGCCGAGAUUUUUUGAUAUGCACUAAAUCCCUUCAAGCCCGCGAGAUUUAUUCUUUGAGUAAAAUAACGACAAUUGGACUCACAAGUUUGAACUAUUUUUACAAAGAGGAACCGGCGCAUUCGGUACCUUCUCCAGAAGAGGUGUGGCAGAUAUGUUGGAUUGUCCACGAAGUAGUCUUGCAUCAACAUCUCGUUACUGAGAUGGCGAUUUCAAGGAAUGCAAAGACGGCCGACGGUCGAUCCUCGCCGUCUCUUUCGGUUCUCAUCUUCGUGCUCCUUCACGGCGAGGGCCAUCACCAACAUCUGCUUGCGAUAGUUGACAAGCUGCAUCUCAACAUCCGAGUCGUCCGAAUCGGAUGAAUCCUCGAUCAAAAACUUCUCGCAUGGACUCAAUUCCAUCUAAAUUCACAAAGACGCAAGCCGUGUUAACCAACUAUGCAUAAGCACAAGCACAAGUAAAAGUACUCAUCGACAGCUCGGGGCGGUGGCUCUGCGGCGGUGGAUCUCGGGGCGGUGACGGUGACUAGGGGAGGCUCGGGGCGGUGGAUCCUGGGGCGGCGACGGCGACUAGGGGCGGCUCGGAUUGGCGGAUCCGGGGAGCCGGUGAAGCGGCUAGGUGUAAGAGGGGAGGGGCGCCCCGCGGCGCGAUUCUGCCCGCCGAUUUGGCCGGAAUCGCCGGUGGCUGACGGGCGGCGGCGGAAGGGGGUGGGGAAAGGACGCGGGUUGAAAUGUGCCUCCCGCCAACCGCUUUCCUGGAAUACAGGGCACCGUCGGGGCGAGGGAGAAACCUGCGUUUUCGCGGGUUGGGGAUGAGAUUUUACGGCGCCCCUAAAAAUUUUUUACGGGUCGGACGCGUUUGCGGUGUCUGGUCGGGCAGCAUUUUACGCGCGGACCCGUAUUUUGGUGGUUAUUUUACGGGUCGGGGCAUUAUAUAGGGUCUACUAAAGAGCAUCUCUAGCAGACCCGACAUAACGCCCCGACCCGCAAAAUAACCCCCAAAAUGCGGGUCGGCGCGGAAAAUCCUGCCCGAACAGACCCCGCAAACGCGGCCGGCCCGUAAAUUUUUUUAGGGGUGUGGCAAAAUCUUGACCCCAACCCGCGAAUACGUGGGUCCUCCCCCCCGACCCGUCGGUGCCCUGCAUAUAGCGGGAGCGGUUGGUGGGGAGGACAUUUCAGCCUGCGCUUUUCCCCCACCUACCACCUCCCCGCUCCCCCUCACCCCGCCGCCCAUGAUUCCGGCGAAAGUAGCCGGCGAGAUCAUGCUGAAGGCCGCCACACGUACGAGGUUGCCCUCCGCCAACCCUUCCUGCGUCGGUGGGCCGGAAAGUUGCAUAUCUGCGCCCCAUCGUCGUGGGCGGCCCGGAUUUGGCUUUUCCUGCCGCCGGUGGCCACGCCAAGCGAUGGAAUGGUCGGGGAGCACCUCGCGCAGCCCCGGCAAAGUCCCAUCGCCACAUGCAGGUACGGGUUCGUCCUGUCGCCGCCGCCGACGGUUUGGCUGCAUGGAUUCAGCCGGCUGUCCGCCGAGCUCGGCGCUCGUGCAGCGGCUCUGCGGCUCGCCAAUGCCGCUCAUACAGUGCGACGACUGCACGCGGUGCACGCGGACAGUGCUGCGGCUAACUUUGGGCACGCCGAAGCACCUCGUAUGGGUGUUGUUCAAAUGCGAAAACAACGGGGUACGUGUUCUUUUCAUUCGGCUUUGGCACCGUAUUCUUUGCUUCAAUUGGAUAGCUCAUUUCGAACAUCAUCAUGUGUGUAGGAAGAUUGAUGCUCAUUUUGGUUUUGGGAAGGCGAAUAUAUUGACUUAUUGAUAGAAAGAAACUUAAUAGACGUUCGUGCAAUCCUUAGUACAGUCGAAGGUAAUGAAGCGGUUGCAUGUGCAACUAGAGGGGAAGCAACGUCUACUUCUUUAGAACCAAAGAAGAAGAAUGAAGAAUGCGAGAUCAAGAAUCUGCAAAUCAACAAUGAGUGCAUGGAGAAGAUAUUGCUUCAACUAGUGGGAGCAGUUAUGAAAGUUGGAAAUCUUCUAAAAUGCAUAAUUGUGGCUCUUGUUUUCUUUGGUCUUGCUAUUCUAGCAAAGAUUUGGAGAUAUCUAUGUAUCCAAUGUUGUUGAAAAAGCAAAAAAAAAAUGCAUUAUCUUGUUUCAAAUUGAGGUGCAAAUUUAGGAUUUGCUGGCCGGCGGGAGCGGCGCCAGACCAGACCCCGUAAAGCCGGCCCGUAAAAGAGCAUAUUCCGCGAAUAUCCUUUUGUACGGGUCCGUUCUGCGGGGUCUGCAUCUGCGGCCGUCCGCGCCGGCCCGCAAAGCCGUUUUUCCGUGAACUGCAAACGUGUUUUGCGGGUCGGCGUUAUGCGGGUCUGCUAGAGAUUCUCUAAGACAAGCUUUUUGAGACGGAGUGAGUACAAUUGAUCUUACCUCGACAAUAUCCUAUAUAUUGUAGUUAUUUAAGAAUAUAUUGGACUAUAGUCACUGUGAAAUUAUUGUUUUUUUGGCACAUCAAUGUGUUAUGCAUUGUCCUGCAGUUCAGGUUGUGCAAACUUUAUGACAUCAAAAUGCAAUAUUUUAACUCAAAAAUAAAAUGCAAUGGUUUGAUAUACGCACUCUUCUCGGUUGAUUGUUGAUUUAUCUUCUUAGGGCACACUGAGUGGUUACCAUCAUUAAGUGACUGUACUUGUCUACAUGCUGCUGUUCUUCACCCGCUUUGAUGAAACCUACGAUCCACCAUUUUUUUGCGGGAAGAUCCACCAUGAAUUCUUUGGUUUGGCAUUCACUUAGUAUGCCUUUCAAACCAAGUGAUAUGUCAUGGAUAUUAAUGCGCAUAUCUCCCCCAUUCCAGCCUCCCUCCAUUCCAAAAUACUAUAAUGGAUGCAAGUUUUUUCCCAAGUCAAACUUUUCAAAGUUUGACCUAGUCGGUAGAAACAUAUAUUUAUAUUUAGAAAUGUUUGACCUAGGACUGAACUUAUACUACCACUAUCCGGGUUUGUUAGUCCCCUUUUUGUGUAAACUUUGGCCUUAAAUUUGAUUAACAAAAUAUAAGUUAUAUGCAAUAAAAAUAAAAUUGGGAGACUCGUAUUUGAAAGAAGUUUCCAAUAAUAUUAUUUUUCUUCUAUAUAAAUUAAAUUUUACUAGUUAAAUCUAUGGUCAAACUUUGACCCAAAAUGCGAGGGAGGAGGUAUAUAGUACAUCUUUGGACUGGAUGAAGUAUUUUACUUUGUUUACUUAUUUAAAAAUAUAAAAUAUAUUCAAUGUUCUAACAAAUUAGAAUUUAUGAAGUUUCAUAUAUUUUUUAAAUUGAAGGAUGACCACAAUGGAUCACAGCUAAAAGGAGAGUUUGUACUAGAUGUCUUGUUGUUGUCAGCAUGACAUCGUCAAUGGUAACCGAACCUCCAUGAAUCGAACUUGUUACGGUCUGCCAAUUCCAAUAGGUCAAUAUCGAUCCCUUUGUUUCACAUUACCCAGUGCCUAUGCGGGUGGUUCUGCCUUGAUCUCAGCCAUUACAGUCUAGCUAGGUCCACCAUAAUUAGCUGGCGUAGUUAAUUUAGCAUAGCACUACACAUAGAAAAACCACUCUGAAUAGCUAUAUAGAUGGAUAUAUAAUCACAUCAGACAAUCUACACCAAGACCUGUUCAUAUGAAAAUCUACACCAAGUUAGAAUUCAUGCCAAAAAAAUAUGGAUGUAACCGCCAUAAAUACCUGCUUAUAUUUUUUCCCUUUGAUAUAUUUCCAAAUGGCAAAGAUCAGUAGAUUACAGAAAGAAAUGCUCUUUAGUUUAAACAAAACCGGAUUAAAGGCGUUUGAAUGUUUAAUAGGCAAGGUAUUCAUCAUCAUAUAAUAUUCGAAAUUCCGAACAGCAAAGGUACGGUAAAGCAAACCAAACGCUAGCAUGAAUGAAUAUUAAACAUGACGCUCAUCUAUCGUCCUUUGCGAUCUCAUCCGACUAUUUGUGUAUAAUGCGCGCCCUCCAUGCGUCAGAGCGUUAAGGUCAGAUCGACCUCCUCCCCAGCUCCGUCGUCCUCCUCCAGCUCUGCGGCGAGCGACUCCAACACGUCUCCUUCGGGCUCCACGACCGGCUGCGGCGCCGGCGCCACCGGCAGCCCCAUGAAGUUUAUUUCCACCGGAGGGGGACCUCCAUGGCGGUACUCCUCCCAAAAGGAUUGGUUCGGAGCAAGCACAAACAGCCACGGGCUCAACAAAGUACAGAUGAGAGCAGGUAAGUUGGGUACGGGCGGGCUUACAGGCUCGUUCCGGCGGCGUUUCUUGACGCAGCUGCGUGAAGACAUAUGGCCACCAAGCGCCUGGGGUGUUGGCCACGACUUAACGCAAAAAGGGCAUUGGUAUCCCUCCCGCGGUGGCGGCGGCCGCCAUGGGUUUGGUGCGCCGCCGGAGGCCAUCUCCUGCGCGAAAGGCUUUUGGGGUCGAAUGGGAAUGGCUAGCUCUCUCUCUCUCUCUUUCCAGGGCUAGCUGUUUAUGUAGGUGCUGGCCUGCGUCAGAUGUUCUAUGAAUCGCGCGAUUUUCUUUCUUUUUUUGCGCCUGCUAGGCUGGUUCUCACCGGGUAAUUAUUGGAUACCUUUUUUUGCGGGUAGGGUAAUUAUUGAAUACUGCGCGUUCUUUUUUUCCUGUGUCUAAUAGUGCGCGUUAUUCUUUGCUUCUUCGUUACAGUCAGGUUCAGCAUACUCCAAUCGCCUGCGAAGAACUCUUAUCUCUUUCUCUAUGCUGGAAUUUAGUCUAGUUUUGAACCAACCUAAUAACACUUUCGGAAAUUCCUAAUAAACUCUAAAACCCCCAUUAGCCCAUUCGUGCAAGGCAAGAGCUGAAAGUAAAGUUUAGUCCCACAUUACUAGUUUGAUAAGAGUUGGACCUCCUUAUAAGAGAGGUUAUUUCUCCGUAUGUAUGAGCAUGAGAACAAGAAAAAUAUACACACGCCCUCCUCCUCCGCCGGCCACCUCGGCACGACGCGCCGCGGGUUGCGGGAAUGAGCUGAGCCCUUGUCUAAAUUUGUUUCACAAACGACUGGUAUACGAAAGGUCACGCGGGAGCUAAAAAGUUUUGUUUAGUGGAGAUUAAAUACGAACGCUGCACCCUUAGGCUGUUGGUUGUUUGUUUCAUCUACCUCUUUUCCUUCACCUCCUGUCGCUGCCUAUUAGCUUCCUUCUUUUGUGCCUAUAAAAGAGAGGUCGCUCCUCUCCAAAGUGAAACACCAGAACAUCUUCUUCCUCUCGCCACCGAGUUUCUGAGCACUGAGCUACUGCUACGGUCUUCCCCAUCCCGGCUUGCGGCGUGCACCGCAGGUCAGGACAGUAUGCCUCCGAAACCCCACCUCUUUGAGUCAUGUAUGGGAGAAGGGUGAUACGGUUUUUGGGGAGCGCUCCGCGUGACUACUGGCUUGUUCAUCACGGACGCCCCGGACGCCGACGACCACUUCCCCGACGACGACUUCUUCCCCGACGUCGACAACCUCUCCGAUGACAUGGCCGGCGAGGACGUCGACCCCAAGACUAGUGCUUCUGCUGCUGCUCCGUACGUCUUCGUGUUCUUUCUGUUUAAGAUCCUGACAUAGUUUCUUGUUCUAGCCUUUCUUGUUCUAGCCUUUGUUCUACAUAUGUUCUGUUCUAGUUCACAUGUGCAAAUACUAUUUGCCUUCACUCUGCUAGAUUGCAUGACUUGUUUCAUCUCUACUAUAAUAGUCAUGUUUUAUCUACUAAUUCUGUUAAUAAAAUCAUAUGGUAAAUUGUUCAUACUUCCAAAACUCUAAUCAGCUCCAUAACUCUAAUCAGCCUCAGUACGAGCUCUUGGUUCGGUAAAAAAAACUUCAAUUUGAGCUGCUGCAAGUACGUCGGUGUUGCAACAUUUUUCUCUGGCAACUCUGCUAAAAUUCACUUGAAAAUCCUUCAAAUAUUUUCUGCCGUAAUUUCUUAAAAAAUUAUUCAAAAUCUUUGGUAUCGCAACGCGGCACGGGAAAUCAUUGCAACAUUUUACUUAGGUGACUCCAUGAAAAUCAUUUGAAAACCAUAUCAAAUAUACACAUGCAACAAAUCUGAGUUUUGCUUCGGGACACGAAGUUCACACAAAUCAUAAAGUUACUUAAACGGGUAUUUUUGUAGAUUCACGAUCAACUAAUUCUACCCGUGAAAAAAACUAAUUCUAAUUCGUAUUCUUACAAUGGAUCAAACAAGAAAUCAGAACAAUCUGAUCUUUUUGAUUGAAGGGGUAACUACUAAUCUCCACCUUUAAUCUGCUUCAAAAUCUUCAAAAAUUGUAAACUUUUCUAGNNNNNNNNNNNNNNNNNNNNNNNNNNNNNNNNNNNNNNNNNNNNNNNNNNNNNNNNNNNNNNNNNNNNNNNNNNNNNNNNNNNNNNNNNNNNNNNNNNNNNNNNNNNNNNNNNNNNNNNNNNNNNNNNNNNNNNNNNNNNNNNNNNNNNNNNNNNNNNNNNNNNNNNNNNNNNNNNNNNNNNNNNNNNNNNNNNNNNNNNNNNNNNNNNNNNNNNNNNNNNNNNNNNNNNNNNNNNNNNNNNNNNNNNNNNNNNNNNNNNNNNNNNNNNNNNNNNNNUACUCAGCAAGUAUAUUUUUGGUCAUACAACAAAUCUUAAUAAAAAAAUUAAACAGGUCGCAAUAGAAGCAACUUAUCACAACAACCAGGCUUUUUUCGGCCAACAUUUUCCAAAACCGACUAGUUUCCAGAAAUUUAGCUGAAUCCAGAGAAACUUGAAUAUCUUUCAAAAAAAUUGUUAUUUUUUAAUUUAUACAUCCUAGUAAUGCAACUAUUAUGACGUGACAUCUCUUGGCCUGGUGGUAUGUCGCAUAAGAGCAUCUCCAACCACAAGGAGAUAACUCAAGUCCCCAUACAUCCUUGAACGUGCUCAGUCAGUGACCGGACGUGUCCGUUUUGAGCAUCCAUUUGUGUGUGCAUGCAAUAAGUCCCCUACAUUCUCCUCCAAUUGUCCGGUCAAAUGCAUAUGGUGGGGAUCAAGAGAGAGGGGGGAAAGAAAGAGAAAAAGUGAUCCCGGUUGGGGGCAUCCUACGUGGAGGGCUGUCCGGACAUGCCCGAACAUCCCCAUAUACUCCCCAUAUUUUGUAUGGAUAUGGGGAUAUGCGGCUCGGUCAAAUNNNNNNNNNNUCUCCCCUGUCCAGACAGUGAUCGGGCUGUCCCCCCAGGUGUAUGUCAAGGAUUUGGGUGGUCUGUUAUAGAUGCAAAAACCCUCCUCGCUAGAGGUCUCGUGAGUUCCAGCUUUUGCAAUCAAUUACUUAGUGGUGACCACUUGCAUAUGAAUCAGUCGAUAACUAUCAUGGGUUAAAUAUUACAGAUUUUUACGCUUUUUUAAUUUAAAAUUCGGGCGAAAAAGUCCAAAAAUCCCAGAUUUUUAAGAAUUUUGUCACUCUGACUAAAAAAAUCCUUGCUCACAACAACACAGGCAACAGCAAGGAAACAUAUUUUCAACCAUUUGUAGCAAUCGAAAAAACAUUAAUACAUGGUAUUCAUGUGUACGUAAGAAACACCAACACAUUUGUGGCAUGUCAAAAAAUAGCGCGCAACCUAAAAAAUAUCGAUUAACUGACCUCGAGUUGCCAACAUUUUAUGCACCGGCCUUCACCGAUUUGGCUCCGUGGAGUCACCAAAACAUGAUCUCACAGACUUGUGGAACACAAGACAAGACCAACACUACACAUAGGUCGGGUGAAUGUGAGGUAAAACAGUCAGCCUUCAUGCUGUCGAAUCUCCCUAAACUGAUAAGCAUCUAAUUAUCAAAACCGCUACUAGGAACUUUGAUUUUACUCAGACCCGGAUUCUUUACCUAGGGAUAAUUGCCUCCUAGGGACAUAAAAGCACCAAGUAGUACAUUCCAGGGAGAUAUAUCUUGUAGCUGAAAGUUUUGGGAAAUAAGACAUAAAAAAGGUGUGAUAGCUUCCGGGUGCCCUUACACCCUUUAUGGGACAUCAAAUAUGGUCAAACUGUAGGUUCUUGCAAGUUUUCAUAACAAAAUAUCAUGUAGAGAAAGGUGUACACAUGAGCUUCAGAUUUCAGUGCUAAAAGUGAUGAAAACUUCAAGAACUGAAAUCUUUUUCUUAUGUAGAGCUCUUCGGAUGUUUUUUUGGCAUGAAAACUUGAACGCAUCUACAAAGUUUGAUCAUAUUUGAUGCUGCAAAGUUUCAAAAUUUUUUAGAGUUUUUUUUUUUUUUGAAUUUACUGUUCAUAGAGGGUGUAGGGCACCCGGGAGCUAAAAAACCACUCUCAUAAGACAUGCCAAGGUUGGACGCACGUAGAUGCCCUCAAGUCUAGAAAGACACUGACUGAUGACCCCACUAUGGCAAGUAAAUGGUCUCCUACGCCUUUUUAGUCAAGUGAUUUCUAUUUUCAUGUCCCUCAUCGCUUAGUCCUCCUCAGUUUUGCCCAGGCUUUUUCGCAAUCCUCACUUUUCCCCUCCACCGCUCGGCCCACCCUCACAAAAGCCCAAACGGGAGUUUGUCGUCGGGUCAAAGUCUUUGAUCAUUACUGGGUGUGGUUACUGAUGCAUGGGACACCCCUGUCAGUGGUUGCCCGCUCGUAGAUGGUGGGGGGAUCACUACUGGGAAAAGCCCUAUAGGUGAACUAUAAAUAGUGGCGGGCAGGACAUGUCACCCGUCACUGCUACUUUUCCAAAAGUGCAUUGACGGGUACCUGGACUAGCCCGUCACAGUUACGGGCAUGCCUAUGGCGGGCGCUGGCCAGCAACCGCCACAGCUAUCCCCUUCCAAAUAUGCCCGCUGGCUGGAAACUGUAGUUGCGAGCGCUGACCUAGUACCUAGCACUGGCUUGUGGGUAAUCUGUGGCAGGUGUUGCUAGGCGCCCGCUACAACCAUAUUUUGUCAAGCGCACCAAAUAAAUCAAAAUUUGGAAAUGUUUGUUGUACAGGUGUCUGUGCUUGCCCACCAUUGCUCUUGACGGUCAGUUCUCCUUCCACGCCCGCCCAACAACCAUCCACAAAACUUUCAUUUCCAUCGUUUCGUCUUUCUCUCUACCAUUUCCGCUCCCUCGUCCCCUUCCUCGUUGUCUUGCGCCUCGACCGCCACCCUCGUCCCUCCAACCAGCCGGCGACGCCUUCCACGCGUCCGACAUCGUGAGCGAUGCCGGAUCUGCUCGCCUUUGUGUCGUCCACCUCGAUUUCCACCGCGUUGUUCUCUGUCUCGACUGCUUGCAACCCCCAUCCUCCGCCUAACCGCCACCACCAUCCUUCCCCUCGACCACCGCCCUCGGCCGCGGCCAGAAAAGCGACCAACGGUAUACUACAUCUCCGUGACUAAAUUACGCUUUAGGGUUCAGAAUUUGCAUCUUAUUAAUUUGUAGAUCAACUAGUUGUACAUUAGAUAAGAGAGCGAGCAGCACGUCGGCAGGAGCAGUACUAAAUAAUUGAAAUAGCUCUGUUUCAUAUCGGUAGGUGUCUGAAUAUUUGGAACAUUGCUAAAUAUGACAAGCAUCGAUUGUGUUUGAAUUUUCUCACAUAUGAGAAGUGCAUGGGCUUAUAGUUAUUCACAAGGAUUUGAAAAGGAGUGACAAAGUCUUUACGUAAUGUUGAUUCAUUUUCGUUUCGGCAAGUUUCUGUCAUUCCAUACGUCAACUUUGUAAGCAAAGUUCAUGCCGAAUUUCAUUUGCUAUGACAAUAUUGUUUACUUUGCUUACAUAUGACAAGUGCAUGGGUUUAGCAUCAACAUUGCUAAAUAUGACAAGUGGCAAUGAUGUUUGAAUUUCUUACAUAUGAGAAGUGCAUGGGUUUCAUGUUAUUCACAAGGAUUUGAAAAAGAGUGACAAUGUUUUUGCGAAACGUUGAUUCAUUUCCAUUUCGCCACAUUUCUGUCACUCCAUACGUCAACUUUGUAAGGAAAGUUCAUGUCGAAUUUCAUUUGCUAUGACAAUAUUUUGUAAUUUGCUUACAUAUGACAAGCACAUGGGUUUAGCAUCAACAUUGCUAAAUAUGAAAAGUGGCAAUGAUGUUUGAAUUUCUUAAAUAUGAGAAGUGCAUGGGCUUCAAGUUAUUCACAAGUAUUUGAAAAAGAGUGACAAAGUUUUUGCGGAACGUUGAUUCAUUUCUGUUUGGCCAGAUUUAUGUCACUCCAUACGUCAACUUUGUAAGCAAAGUUCAUGCCGAAUUUCAUUUGCUAUCACAAUAUUGUUUAGCUUUCUAAGCAAAGUCAUGCGGAAUUUAGAUAUGACAAGUGCAUGGGUUUUGAAAAUGACUGCCAAUGUUUUGAUGAAACAUUGAUUAACUUCCGUUUCAUCAAACUUCUGGUAGUCAAAAUAUGUUCAAUAUUCAGCAAAGGUCAUGCCAAAUUUUCUCUAACCCUUCUUAGUUACUUCCUCCUCUCAAAAUUACUAUUAAUAAGUUUUUUAUAAUGAUUAUUACGGAUCAUGAGGUGUAAGAUCUGCCAUAUCUACAAAGGUCCAUGUAUGGACAGUGUGGAUAUUGCAGUAGAUUUCAGACUCUUCUUGAUGAACGGAUUUCAACUUAAUAUUGUAUGAACUUACAAUGUCAGUCUCUUAGAGUUGUUUUUGCAACCUAAUAUUGUUGUAAAAUCCUUUCCUUGAGCUGCGGUUGAUGUGGUGGUCUGCUAUUGUGGAUGAUGCAUGCAGGGGCUGCUGGAGAACACGGAGAAGGACAGGGUCCGGAGGCUGAUAGGUUCAAGCCUCCCGUGGAGCCAUGAUUUUCCCAGUUGAUGGAUCUUUCCUGUGCACGCUGGCAUCCAGGUCGGCAACGCGUGCUGGGAACUUUACUGCCUCGAGCACGGCAUCCAGGUUCGUCAUACCCCAUCUCCCGCCUCUCGCCCCUUCUCAUGUCGACUCGUAUGCGGUUUCUCGGAUUUGUUGAUUGGUUGGAGAGGGUUUCCCGUCGUGGAUCUUCUCUGGUUUGGAAUAUUUAGGCUGUAAUUGAUGCGCGAUUUGAGCUGUGAUGGGAUUACUCGAUUACCUUUCCGUGUAGGUCUAGUUGUUUUCACGUGAGGAUGCGGCAAUUAGUGUUCGAUCCGCGCGACCCUUCUGAAUUGGUCAGGAACAUGAUCUGUUCGUAGUCCCUAAUUUAAGCCUCCGACCUGUGAUGUUUAGUCAUUUCGUUUUGUAUUUUAGAUCUGAUAUGCAAUUGGAGUCCUAGGAUCGUAUUUUUCAGGAGAAAUGAAUACACUUCUGCACUAGUUUAGUUGUCACUUUUGUGUGAAAUAUCAGAUCUACUUAGGCCAUUAUCAUGCUUUCCACGGUCAGUUUUGAUGUGUUCUGAAAUUAUGAUCUGCAUCCAACUAAACACCUCAUUGUUCCCUGCUGUAGCUUGAUGGCCAGACGAACGGUGAGAAGACCAUCCGGUGAUUCGCUGCUUGCAAACAACAGCUAGUAAAUCGGUCACCGUGGGGGCGGGGACAUGAGAUUCAGAGAAGAGAUGCUGCUGCCUGCCUAUACUAGUUCAUAUGUGUCCAGCCGCCUAGAUCUACCAUACUCACCUCGUUUCACUGUGCUACAAGUAGUUCCUAGGCCAUUAGCUCCUGCUUGCUUUUUUGCUGCACAAUGCUUAUUUUGCUGCUAGUGUCCAUUUAGCAGUUUUUUUACUAUGUUUUGGCCUAGUUUUGUUCACAUGUAUAAUAAGCAUCCUGAAUUCUCAUUUAGCAGUGUAUUAAUAACACUGCUAGUUUUGUUCACGUGUAUUCAGAUUAAUACACUAUGUUGUUAAACUGCACAAUGCUCAUCCCGUUGGCUACUUGUCGAUGUUCUCCGCAUAACUAUAGGCUGCCAUGUCUUUCCACUUUCCUGUUCACUUUCAGUAAUGCUAACUUGACAGUAACCCUAUAGUUUGUUAAUUGGCUGUUGCAACCUAGCAACGGCGCUUCCAUUUUAACGCAUGUACUAGUGUGCUAAAACUUGCAAAAGACACAAAUCUUGAGCUUUCUUUAUCGGCUAGUUGCUGCUGCUCCUUGUGUACAAUGAUUGAUGUUGCUCUAGUUAGUGUUGCAGAGGAAGAAAGAGGAUGUAUUUAUAUUACUUGCUUCUGCUGCUUAUAUAUAGACAUGUAUGUAUGUUUACUUCAUUUCUUCCUUGUCUCUCCGAUCCUCUCCUAAUGAAUUUGUUUGUUUGAUUUGGAUUAGCAGGCUCGUCCCUGGACCAGAUGUUCAAGUACAGCCCCAUCCACCGCAUCGACCUGGAGUCAGGUAUGUACUCGUCUUGUUGAACAAAUCGGACAGAUGCUUCAUGGCCUAAUGCUUGAUGCUAAGCGUUAAUACAUGGAUCUGUAGCGGUCCAAAUGAAGAGCGUGAUUUGAUUUGUUUGGGUUUGAAUUGAUCGUGUGCGUGUGUGUGUGUCUACAGGGGAGCAUGCUUAAGUUACUACUGUACUGUUCUUUUAUGUCCUGCUACAGUUUGACACUAUUAACUAGGCUUGCUGGACAUGUCAUGAUACAAGACUUUGUCUUUUCUAGCAUCAACAAAUGUUUAUCUACUGUAAAGUACUAUUAAUUAGGAUACAACAGUAACUAUAACAGCAGUAACUGUUUGGAGAAAUGACUCCAAACAGAGUUGCAUAAUUACCAAUGAUACAUUUUUUUCUAAUUUUUGCAUGAGAGCAAACUGGUGUAGCUAGCUGGACUAUGCAGCCAUGAAUCAGGAAGUAGCAUAUUCAGAUUUGCUAAUAGAAAAAAAUGUAUUAAAAACUUUAAAUUUGUCUGUUAGAGAUAGCAGUAUCGAUUGUACCUGUUAAACAAGAAUCAAUUCUUCCUGGAAUGUUUGUCUAUCAACUAGUAUGAUGGCAUAUUAACAUCUUUCUCAGGGUGCUAGAGUCACAUACUCUUGGGUUCCAUGUUAAAACAAACUAAUGGCUAUAUAUCUUAGUAAUAUUAAACAAAGCUAUAUGGCUGUUGAUGAUAUAUCUUAGUAAUUUUAGUUUUGGAUGUGUCCAAUGCAAACAUUACUAUCAACUGUCAAGUUGAUUCUAAAAUGUCUCAUGAACUUCAUUAUUCUGUUAUUUAUUGUUAAAUAUGCUGUUAGAUCUACUUCUAUUUUGUUCCUAAAUAUUUUGUUUUGUAACGUGCAGAUGCUGGGCUUUGAUGUUUCUUCGUGAGCAUUAGUACAAAGAAGUCGGAGGAAGAAUAGUUCUAGCUCAUUGGAGCUAGUUUUGAGAGUAAUGGAGUCCUUUAUGCUGCUCCUAUUUGUAUGUGUGUUAUAUGAUGUAGCAGAAUCUGGCUCAUGUGAUUGUACACUUGUGGAGCUUGUUAUCUGAUUGUAAACUUGAUGCUGAUCACAUUUGUAUGUGUGUUAUAUGAUGUAGCACUUUGAUGGUUGAUAACAUUUGAAGUAUUUCAUGUGUUCUGUGUGCCAAUUUAAAUACUAGGUAUUUAAAUUGAAGAAUAUUGCACCGACGGCUAGGACCUAGUACUAGAACCUGACAAUGGUGACCCACCUGACUAGUGAACCCACUCUAUAAAAAAAGAAAAAAAAUGAAAUUGUUGAGACAAAAAGGCCAUGGCCCAAAAAUAAAAA